UUCUCUCUCAAUUCUCUAUGAAACUCCUACAAACCCUAGCCGCCUCCAUCAAACUACAACCCUAAUACCUCCCUAAUCUAUGGCCUCCUGUGGUCAUUUGAAACAUGUACUAGCCUUCCAUGACUUCUGUGUGUUUGUUCCUAUGGUCUCAAGGCCAGAUAUUGAAAGAGCAUGGUGCAAUCCUUGUUCGAUUUCAGUUCAUGGUUGUUCUCCAGUCGUCUCUGACCUUUCUCCGCCCAGUCAUGGCCAUUCGACUCAAACCUUUGACUCUCGUGCUUAGAUGGAUGGUUUUCAAGGCCUUUCUCAUCACUUGGAGUUCUUCUGAAACCCUAAUCUCUAAGAUUAUUUCGAUUUCUUUCGGAUCUAUUUUAGAUCUAUGUUUUCUUUGAACUUCCA
rnacentral:lncRNA from 1 species